rnacentral:rRNA from 1 species
GACGAACCGUGCGAACGUUGUUCGGAAUCACUGGGCUUAAAGGGCGCGUAGGCGGCUUGCCAAGUCAGGGGUGAAAUCCUGCAGCUCAACUGUAGAAGUGCCUUUGAUACUGGCGAGCUCGAGGGAGGUAGGGGUGGGUGGAACUUCUGGUGGAGCGGUGAAAUGCGUUGAUAUCAGAAGGAACGCCGGUGGCGAAAGCGACCCACUGGACCUCUUCUAACGCUGAGGCGCGAAAGCCAGGGGAGCAAACGGG